CCCUUAGAGUUUGAUCCUGGCUCAGGAUGAACGCUAGCUACAGACUUAACACAUGCAAGUCGAGGGGAAACGACAUCGAAAGCUUGCUUUUGAUGGGCGUCGACCGGCGCACGGGUGAGUAACGCGUAUCCAACCUGCCCACCACUUGGGGAUAACCUUGCGAAAGUAAGACUAAUACCCAAUGAUAUCUCUAGAAGACAUCUGAAAGAGAUUAAAGAUUUAUCGGUGAUGGAUGGGGAUGCGUCUGAUUAGCUUGUUGGCGGGGUAACGGCCCACCAAGGCGACGAUCAGUAGGGGUUCUGAGAGGAAGGUCCCCCACAUUGGAACUGAGACACGGUCCAAACUCCUACGGGAGGCAGCAGUGAGGAAUAUUGGUCAAUGGACGAGAGUCUGAACCAGCCAAGUAGCGUGCAGGAUGACGGCCCUAUGGGUUGUAAACUGCUUUUAUAAGGGAAUAAAGUGAGUCUCGUGAGACUUUUUGCAUGUACCUUAUGAAUAAGGACCGGCUAAUUCCGUGCCGGCAGCCGCGGUAAUACGGAAGGUCCGGGCGUUAUCCGGAUUUAUUGGGUUUAAAGGGAGCGUAGGCCGGAGAUUAAGCGUGUUGUGAAAUGUAGAUGCUCAACAUCUGCACUGCAGCGCGAACUGGUUUCCUUGAGUACGCACAAAGUGGGCGGAAUUCGUGGUGUAGCGGUGAAAUGCUUAGAUAUCACGAAGAACUCCGAUUGCGAAGGCAGCUCACUGGAGCGCAACUGACGCUGAAGCUCGAAAGUGCGGGUAUCGAACAGGAUUAGAUACCCUGGUAGUCCGCACGGUAAACGAUGGAUGCCCGCUGUUGGUCUGAAUAGGUCAGCGGCCAAGCGAAAGCAUUAAGCAUCCCACCUGGGGAGUACGCCGGCAA
rnacentral:rRNA from 1 species